UGGGGAAUAUUGCACAAUGGGCGCAAGCCUGAUGCAGCGACGCCGCGUGGGGGAUGACGGCCUUCGGGUUGUAAAACCUCUUUCAGCAGGGACGAAGCGAAAGUGACGGUACCUGCAGAAGAAGCACCGGCCAACUACGUGCCAGCAGCCGCGGUAAUACGUAGGGUGCGAGCGUUGUCCAGAAUUACUGGGCGUAAAGAGCUCGUAGGUGGUUUGUCGCGUUGUUCGUGAAAACCGGGGGCUUAACCCUCGGCGUGCGGGCGAUACGGGCAGACUAGAGUACUGCAGGGGAGACUGGAAUUCCUGGUGUAGCGGUGGAAUGCGCAGAUAUCAGGAGGAACACCGGUGGCGAAGGCGGGUCUCUGGGCAGUAACUGACGCUGAGGAGCGAAAGCGUGGGGAGCGAACAGGAUUAGAUACCCUGGUAGUCCACGCCGUAAACGGUGGGUACUAGGUGUGGGUUUCCUUCCUUGGGAUCCGUGCCGUAGCUAACGCAUUAAGUACCCCGCCUGGGGAGUACGGCC
rnacentral:rRNA from 1 species